rnacentral:rRNA from 1 species
AUUGAACGCUGGCGGAAUGCUUUACACAUGCAAGUCGAACGGUAGAGGGGGCAACCCCUCGAGAGUGGCGAACGGGUGAGUAAUAUAUCGGAACGUGCCCAGUCGUGGGGGAUAACGUAGCGAAAGUUACGCUAAUACCGCAUACGAUCUACGGAUGAAAGCGGGGGAUCGGAAGACCUCGAGCGAUUGGAACGGCCGAAAUCAGAUUAGGUAGUUGGUGGGGUAAAGGCUCACCAAGCCAACGAUCUGUAGCUGGUCUGAGAGGACGACCAGCCACACUGGAACUGAGACACGGUCCAGACUCCUACGGGAGGCAGCAGUGGGGAAUUUUGGACAAUGGACGCAAGUCUGAUCCAGCCAUUCCGCGUGCAGGAUGAAGGCCCUCGGGUUGUAAACUGCUUUUGUACGGAACGAAAAGGUUUCCAUUAAUACUGGGAGCUCAUGACGGUACCGUAAGAAUAAGCACCGGCUAACUACGUGCCAGCAGCCGCCGUAA